CGGCUUCCUCUCCGGGAAAGCUGCCCAGGCCGCCAGCUGCCUGUGCCUUUAGUUUGGGCCGUGGCCUCCUCCUCGCAGUGCGGGCUUACUCCUUCCCCCCAGCUAACAGAUCAGGAGCCCCAGGAGGCUGAGGAGAGGCAGAUAGGAGCCCACCAGGCACGCGUGGCUCAGUCACUCAGGCCAUGGGACCUUGUACCCCUGCGGUUUGGGCUGAUGUUUGAGUCCUUGCUCAAGGCCGUUGGUGUUCCAGGUGCUGCUCAGACGACCCCUUCGCCGCCUGGACACCCAAGGCGCGCAGACGAGCUGGGGGUGCAGCCAGCCUCCCAAACGCUCACCCGCCCUUGCAGCUCCGUGAAACGACCCCACGGCGUUGGAGAUGAUCUGUGUGAGUCCCUGUCCUGCAGACCGGACCCCGCUUACUCAGCGGGCUGCGUCGGAGGCCCCUGGCUCCCGUUCCCAUAA